AGUCCAAAAGUUAGCUGCUUCAACCAUCAUGAAAGGUACAGAAACUCUAGGAUGAAUACACUUAGUAUUUUUUAUUAUUUAUUUAUUUAUUUUUUAGACGGAGUCUCACUCUGUCUGUCCCCCAGGCUGGAGUGCAGUAGUGCAAUCUCGGCUCACUGCAACCCCCACCUCCCGGGUUGAAGCAAUUCUCCUGCUUCAGCCUCUCAAGUAGCUGAGAUUACAGUACACUUUGUACUUUAAUAUGCAAACUGCCUGCCUGCUCCAGAGAAGCAGCCUUUGUUCCUCAGUUCAUCGCAACACUCAGCCUGUCAGUCAGGUUGUGGGAUCCCUCCUAUCCAGGAACUGUAUGCUGUUGUCCCGGUUCUGACACUUUCCCUCUGAGUCCUUGGACACCUUACCUAACCUCUUGGAAGCUCCUGUCUGUGAAGGGUGUGCACAGAGAGCUUCGGUAGCCUGCGAAGCAGCCAUUUUCACUUCCACGGAGCAGAUGCUGGCCUGGGUGCUGGAAUAUGGAAAUGAGGAAGAUCCUGCCUGAGGAUUUCAUGACAGUGCUGCGAUUACCGACGUGAGCCACUGUGCCCAGCCUCACUUUAAAAAAAAAAAAAGGUUAUGAAGCAUCUCAACACAAGACCUCCUUUGCUCAUCACAACCACCCAGUGAAGCAGGCAAGACAACAGAAACUCCCCACCUGUGAUAGAUGUGAGGCCUGAAGUCUCCCACAUACCCACGGCAGAUGCAACGCACAGCGGUGACCAAUGGUGAAGGAUCUAAAACCUGAAAAGAGGCCAAAUGAUUCCUCAAAACCACGCAAGUACGAAGUAGCAGAGCGGAUCUCAAAUCCAGGUUGCCCUGCUGAUGUCAUGCCUGACCAUAUGACUUGCUCCAGCCAAUGAAAUGUAAGCAGAAGUGACAUAUGCAGCAUGACCAGUGGAAGCUUCGAAGAGCUAUUGCCAAUUUCCACCCUCUCUCUGGAAACUGUCAUUAGGGUUAGGGAAACUGUCAUGAGAUCUGCAUAUUUUAGAUAGAGGCUGCUUGCCUUAUUUGGGCACCUAAUGAAAAAGACAUGGAGGCCAGGUGCGGUGGCUCAUGUCUGUAAUCCCAGCACUUUGGGAGGCCAAGGCGAGUGGAUCACCUGAGGUCAGGAGUUCGAGACCAGCCUGACCAACAUGGCAAAACCCCGUCUGUACUAAAAGUGCAAACACAAAGGGAACUGCGUGGCUUGUUUCUACCUGAACAUUGUCAAGUGAUUUCAUCCUUUGAAACACAGUUGUGAAGUGUGUCCAGCAGUCUGAGAACAAGAAGAAGAAGAAAAUCUAAUCCUUCAGGGUGUCUGUGUGCCAGCCCUGCUCUCAGCACUUCCCAUGUGGAACUCCUUUACUUCUCCUAACAACUCCAUGACAUGGGUUAGACUGUGAUUGUUCCCAUAUUGUUGGUAGGGAAACUGAGGCAUGCAGGUGUUACAGAGCUCUCUCAAGUGGCAAGCUUUCUGGGUGGUUACAGAGUGGCAGAGCUGGGGUAUCCCAUGAUGUCACCACACUGCUAUAUGGAAAAGAACAUUAAUCGAGCACCUACGUGCUUGAUUCUCUUAAUUCUGUGACUGAACUCUCAAAACACCCUGGGUUGGUUUCCUUUUUACAACUGCCCAAGUCAUGAGUUCAUAGGGCCUGGAUGGCUGUACCGGAUUGCUCUCCAGCUGGUCUCUCUGCAUCCAGAAAUUUCUACAACCUACUGGGGUAAAAUCUUUCUCAACCCUGCUUUUCAUCAUCACAUCUUAAAUAUCUCGAGUUGGUUCCCUAUUGCCAAAAAAAAUCCAUUGUCCAUGUAGGGUUCUUCUGCCGAAACGAGGAAAGAGUGAGUUAAAUGUUGGUAGGUGAUAUAGAGAUAGUAAUUAGGCAAUAUAAUUCGAUGUUGUUGAAAGAGCUGAGCUAUGAAAUGCAUUGUGAUAAAGGGGCUGCCUGUGUAAGUAAAUGGGUAUAAUGAGGUGUAAAACUCCCUUUCUCUCUCUCUUUCUGCUUCAUAAGCCUUUCUGCUUCUCAAGUCCAGACCUGCUGUUUUUGGGGUUUCCUUCCAAUUUUUUUGCUGCUUCCCUGGGGCCUUGGCUCUUGGGCCUGCUGCCUCUUCCCACUCUACACCUUUGGAUUCCUUAUCUUUGGCUCCACCUUAUUGCUCCAUUCUCCAAAGACAAAUCCACAAGGCAUAGGAUUUUACAGAAUAUGGGGUUACAGAAACAGCAUAGGGAAGUGUAAAAGCCUAGAAGCUUCUUACAGACGCAGCCCCUUGUCUGUAGCUCCUGACUCCCACUUAAAUGUCUGUUGGAAGCACCCUGGGGUAGCAGAACCCAGCUCAGAAGAUGGGGCUUAUCCACCAUGCCUUUUCCUAACCUGACACCCACCCAGAUAAUCUUUUCAAUAUGCAAACUAGAGCGUAUCACCCCCUGCUCAGAGCCUUUCUGUGACCUCCCAUUUUGCUUCCCAGGACUCCUUGCUCCUUAGCCAGGUCUCCAGGUCCUCCGUGAUCAGGUCUCUGCUCUUCUGCAGCCUCAUCUCUGCCAUUCUUCACCUUUUGUGCUCCAACCCAAUCUGGUUUUCUUCUCAUGCUUUGAACACCCCAAGUCUGUCUGCUUCAGGAGCUUCGUACUGGCUAAUCAUUCACCACAGCAUACUCCCAUCUAUACGGCUGGCUCUUAUAUUAUGGGUCUCAGCUAAAAUGUCAUCCCUUCAAAGAGACCUUCUUGGACCACCCCCGCCAUUCUCUAUCCUAUUUCUCUCUUUUAUUUUCUUUGAAGCACUUACCCACUUUCAGAAACUAUCUGGCUUGCUCAUGUGUUUGUCUCUAGAUUGUCUACUUCCCCUCCUAGACUGUACUCUCCACAAGAGAGCAAAGCUGUGUCUGUUGCAUUCACUGUUGUCUUCCCAGAAGCAAGCAGCAUGCUGGAGACCCUCAAAUACAUGUGAAAUGAAGGGACACCUUGUGUUAUUUCACCUGUUUCCACCUGGUUCCCAAGUGGCAAGCUUGCAUUGAGGUUACAAAGUGGCAAAGCUGGGAUAUCACAUGAUGUCACCAUGAUGCUAUAUGAAAUGUAACAUUAAUUGAGUACCUAUGUGACCAGUUCUUUAAUUCUGUAAGUGAACUCUCAAAAAACCCUAGGUAAGUAUUAUCAACUCGAACUUUAACGGAUGAGGAAACUGGAAUUUUUUAAAAAAUGACUUAACCAAACAUCACAGAGCUGUAAACCAGGAUUUGAAUGGGUGAGCUGCACUCAGCCUUCAUCUCAAGUCAGUUUGCCUCUUUCUCCAAGAAGCCACAGUUGAUCCUGACCACAUCACAUAUGAGUUGCCUGGAUUGCAGUCAUUCAUUCACUAAGCAUCUUUUAGGAGGUCACAUGCCAGGCACCGUGUUAGGUAAUGAUUUCUCCAAGUCACAGGAGCCGUGGUUCUGACUUUAGAAAGUUUCUCAUCUGAUGGGAGGGCAGGCAAGUAAAUCAGUAAGGGUGGUCCCUGUCGGGACACUGGUUGAGAAAUACCCAGGAACACUCUGAUUGAGAAAUACCCAAAGUGCAAAGUGACAGGGACUAGAGGCAUCUCCACUGGACCAGAGAGCUCUGGAUUCGUCUUGAGCUAAGUCUCUGGAGGUAGGUGUCAGCUACAAGGAGAAAAGCUGUAUAUUUUGAGAUAUGGGAUGCAGGGCCUUUUAGUUCCAUAAAUAAGAGAACUAUGGUGUGAAUACCACAUGCCCUGGGCUGAACUAAGUGGGCUCUAGGGGAAGGUAUACUGGGCAGGGAGUUUGGAGAACUGGUUUCUGUCUAAUCCUUCUCUAACUCUGUGACCUUGAAUGCAUCAUUUCCCCUCUGAGUCUCAGAUUCUCUUUCUGGCUGGCAUUUAAUGAAACCUAAAUAUUCUAGACCUUCUACUUGUUCCAUAAGUGCUCAGUCCUACACUCACUCUCCUCUGGCACCAAUAUACUGAUUACUCAUUUUAUGCCCAGCAGAGCACUGCGUGUUUUGAAAUAUACAAAUAGUGGGAAACGAAAUCUUUGUUCUGGAUGCAGUUAUAAUUUGGAAAGCGAGGAAAUAAAUUAUAACAAGGGGAAAAAACAGUUUGUAGGGUUGCCGUGAGGAGUAAAUGAGCUGUUGCAUGGGAAGCACUUAGCAUGGGGCCUGAUAAAUAGUAAGCCCUUGGUAAUAAUUACAUCUUCCGUGAUGCUAGACACAGAGGGAUUGAAAUGCAUAACAAUAGAGAUGAAACACGAAGAGUGAUAAAUGAAGAUUGAGUGUGCACACCUUCUGGAGGAGCCCUGAUUGAGUAUUUUAACACAGAAGUGGGUGAGAGCAAAGUUGUGUCAGAGUAAGACAAUGACACCAAGCCAGAUGGUUAUCAAAAUCCACAGGAACAAAUGAAGAGAACCAGAAAUUGCAAAUAAGAAGGACAGAGUACCAGAGAGGAGAGAGAGGUACAGAGAAUUAUGGAGGUGGCUUCCGUUGAGUAUGCAGCUAAGUAAUGAUUAAUGCAUACAUAUAAGAAACUACUGGAUGACAGAGAAAGAACCACAAGCAAUUUAAAGAAUACUACUAAAGUCAUGCCGUGUGACUUCUGAAGCUAGCUCCUAAGAAGUCCUUGCAGCUUCUGCCUGCGACUCUUAGAACACUUGCUUUGAAGGAUGCCAGAUGCUGUCUUAAAAGUCUGAGCACUCUGAAACCAUCAUGCUGUGAGGAAGCCCAAGCUAACCACAUGGGCAAAAAAGAUGCCCUCUGACUGCCACCAUUUGAGACACUCUAAUUAAGAACUGCCUCAUUGAGCCCAUGAGGCCCUGUGAAUGAUAAUAAUAAAUUGUUUUUAACCACUAUGUUUUUGGAUUUGUUAUAAGUUUAUAGAUAACAAGAAAAAGUUAUAUUAGCAUGGUAAUAAAAUUAUGGAUAUGUGUAAGUUUGGUGUUUUGUUUCUUUUUUUUUUUUACACUAAGCCUAUAUUACUGUUGUAAUUUAGGAAAUCACUUGUUUUCCUCCAGCACUUCAAUGUAAGAGUGGCACUACUUAGAAUGUACUUCUUAAGAUAUGGCU
rnacentral:lncRNA from 10 species